UUGAGCAAUAGAAAUUGGAUCAGAUCUAAUUGAAUUGGAUUCAGCUAGGUUUGCUUUGGCUUGCUUUGAUGUAGCCCUAAUGGAUAACAGAGCUUAUUUCAAUUGAUCUUAGGGAUGCAAAUCAAAUUUAAUUGAUAGAGAUCAGUUUAAUUUGAUGUAUGUUUGAUUGGAUCAAACUCUAUUGGAUAAUAAGCUUGAUUGGAUCAAGCUCUAUUAAGUAAAAAAUACUUCCCACAGAUG
rnacentral:lncRNA from 1 species